GGGCCAGUACCGGUUUCGACAGGGAUCAUGAAGCUGGUGAAGCUAUCCGCAUGCGAUGCGUUAAAUGGCAAACUUAAAAUUAAACGCUAACAACAAAUUAGCAUACGCUGCCUAAUUUGGCAGUUGUCAGCCUUAGAGCACUCACACUUUAAGAAUCUGGCAUCGAAUAUGUGAGAAACGAUGACAGGCGGGUUCCGGACUGUCAGGCGUAUCAGGAACUACUGAAGUUCUGAGGAUGUUCGUUUCCGCAGGAUAGAGGGAAUGUCAAAGAACGGACUAUGAUAGUAGAAGAACAGGGAAUUGGUUUUUGGACACGGGUUCAACUCCCGUCUGGUCCACUA
rfam:Clostridium sp. CAG:43 genomic scaffold, scf16